GUGAUAUUUAUAGCUUCCUGGCUUCUAUUAAUACAUGUUUAUAUUUCAUGAAAGCCAUUUAUAAUAGUGCUACAUGCCAUAUGUUUAAUCCUACUGUGUAAUUGUUCACUCAUCUCUGACUUAAACACCUUAUAAAUUAAUUCAUUCUAUACAGGUUAUCGAAUAAACACUAAUAUUAUAUGCCAAGUGCUGUUCCAGCCACCAUGUAUACAAACAGUAAAGAGACCAUGUCUCUACCCUCAUGGCAUUCGUUUCUCAGUGAAGACAGACAAUGAAUGAAUGAAUGAAUGAAUAUGGAGAAGCAAGGGGUGCAGAGGGAGAAAAGCAGAGGAUAGAGAGUGAUAGAGAGCUAUUUUAUGUUGGGGAGAGACAUAAAUGAAGCCUUGGAGCAGGCCAUGCAGGUAUUUGAGGGAAGAGAGUCACAAGGGAAAAAACACAAAAUACAAAGUUUAAAGGCUCUGAGGGUGGGAACCUGUCUAGCCUUUUGAGCAAUAACAAGGAAACCAUUUUUAGCAAUAACAAGAAGUAGAGUGAGUGAGCGGCAGUGUAGCAGGCAAUGAGCAAAGAGGGAAAAUAGAGGAUGAGAUCUCACUGGGGCUCAAAAAAACUCUCUUAGGCUGUGGACUUUAUUCUGUAGGAAAUGGAAACUUUUGACCAAAAGAGUAACAUUAUUGACUUACAUUUUAAAGGAGCUCAGUGACUGCUACAUAGAGAGUAUAUAAUAGGGACAAAGAUGAAAACAGAAAGACCAGUUAAGAGACUUGAAUCUCCAGGCAAGAGGGCAUGGUGACCUGGACCAGAGUGAUAGAGAAAGAAGUAGUAAGAAGCAGUCACGUGUAUUCGUCUGAAAGAGCUAUUCUGAUAGCGUUUCAUGACUAGUUUGAUGUGAAGAUAUGAGAAAAAAAAAGCAGUCAAUAAAGACUCCAAGAUUUUUUAUGAGGGAAAAUGGAAGAAUGAAUUUUCCAUAAUCAACAUGGGGAAUAUUAGUAAGUAACAGGAUUGGGAAGAAAAAUCAUGUAUUUAUUUUGAGCAUGUUAAAUUUGAGAUGGCUAAUCAGACAUCCAUGUAGAUAUGUUCAUUACAUAGUCAUUUACUGGAGUCCAGAGAUUCAGGAAAGAGGUCAGGAUGAGGAAUGUAAAUGUGGGGUGGUCAAGAUAACAUAGUAUUUAAAGCCAUACGCUGGAGAAGGCAGCCAAGGGAGUGAGAGCAGUUAGAGAAAUUGAGAAGUCUAAAGACUGAACUCUGCAGUACUCCAACUUUAAAAGAUGUGGAAAAAAUAGGAGGAAUUUGGCAAGAGAGAAUGAAAUUGACGGUAGCCAGUGAUGUAGGAAGAACAUGAGGAAAGCGUAGACUCCGGGAAAUUAAAUGUAGAAAGAGUUUCAAAAAUAAAGGAGACAUCACCUGUGUCAAGUGCUGCUGAUUGAUAGGUAGAGGAAGGUAAGAACUGAAAGGUGGCCUUUGCUUUUGUCAACAUAAAGGUCACUGAUCUGUUUCAUGAGAAUGGUGAGGUUAAAUGCCGAUUUGAAGUGGAUCCAAGAAUAGGAAAAGAUAUGUUGGAGGUCAUGGGCAUGAAAAUUUUUUGAGAUUUUGCUCCUUAAAAGGGGAAGAGAGAAAUAGACAGUAGCUGGAGAGGGACAAAAAUCACAGAACUCAACAUAAAGGCAGGUUAUAUAGGGUCCAUAUGAAAGUAGGUCACAUGGGAAAAAUUAUUUACCAUCUUAUAUGUCUAACCUCCUCCUGUUUUUUCACUCUUUCUUUCCUUCCAUGAUAUGAAUCCCAUCCUCCUCCAUACCUGCCUGGACAUCUGAGGUCCUGAACAGCCUAUCUAUGCUCCACUACCUCAAAGCUCUCAGGAAUAGAAAAAUGAACUCAUUUCUCUGGGCGGCUGAUAAGAAUCACAGAUAUUCUCCUCUUCUGUUAUGGAGAAGGAACAUACGUCCAACUCCAGUGACUUUGGGCUUGGCCUUGUGACUUGUUUUGACCAACAAAGUAUGAGCAGACUUGACUCAAGCCACCUUCCAGGGGAGGCAUAAGCUGUGCUUGCAUGCUUCGGCUCUACCUCUCAUGUUCUGCCCACUCUCAUGAGAACAGCAUGACACAGAUGAAAGAUGCUCCUUCAGUCUGAAACCUGAAGAGAGAAGCUACAUAGAGCUAAGCCCAGCUGAGCCCAGCCCAGCCAAUACAGUGCAUUGACCUGCAGCUAUCUUACAAUAUGAGUCGGAAAUAGACAUUUGUUCUUGUAAGCUCUUGAGAUAAUAUGGUUGUUUGUUACCACAGCAAAAGCUAAUAAACCACCGUUAGAAAACAGAUAAAGUGUUUUAAAUUUUUAGAAUAUUUGGAAAUGAUGCUAAGUUUGUGAAGUUCCUUAAGGUAUGCAAAUGAAAAAUAAUUUACCUUAAUCAUUGUCAUAAACCUGAAUCAAAGUUUGAAAUAAAAAUCAUGCCUACUAGCCCUUACUUAAGUGAUUUAUAGACAAUGUAAAUCUUUGUAAACUACCUCAAAUAAUGUGAUAAACAAGAUAUAAAGCAGGCUUUCUUUUCAUUUGUCUCUGUGGGUUCUUUAACAGCUAUACAGCCAUACUCCCUGUACUUGGAUUUACCAUGGAAAACAUUUUCCCUCUCCGUUAUUGUUGGCAAAAGCUGCAUCUUUCUGGUCUGUUCAGUACUCGACAAUUUGUACUGCCAAUUAUGCUAUUACAAUGUCUCUUAAGGUUUCCUCCACUGCUCCUUUAUUCUUGGUACCUCCUUUGUGAUUUCAGAGUCGUUUUAUGGAAUUGUAAUGUGGCUCUUGACAUAUAAUUGAAGCAUGUUAAAUUACCCUGGCUUAAAUAAACAACUUACC
rnacentral:lncRNA from 1 species